GGGGCGGGAAACCUCCGAACAGUUUGAGAUCUUGUAGCACUAGUCGGUGCUCAUUCCCCGAAGUUGGUUUUUCUGUGUGAAACUAGGCAGCCCAAAGAAAAAGUAUUUCGUCUUCAUAAUCGCUUAGGUAUUUUUGGUUUUGAAGGUGUCAGUAGUGAUGGGCAAAGUGGAGGACUUGCUUUGUUUUGGCACGAGUCCGUUAUAGUGGAUGUUCAAGAGGCGAAUAAUAGAUGGAUUGAUGCUUACGUGCAUGUGUCUCCGAGUGAUCCACUAUGGCGCAUUACCUUUGUUUAUGGUAAACCCCGUGUGGAAAAUAGGCAUAUCAUGUGGGAUGCGAUACGCCGGUUGCACGCUCGGAGCAACCUGCCAUGGAUGCGUGUGCGAUAUUUCAACGAGGCAAUGUGGGACUAUGAACACAUGUCGGAGACACUGCGAGCACGAGGGCAAAUGUUUUUUUCUGUGAUGCUUUGGAAACUUGUGGAUUAA
rnacentral:rRNA from 1 species